AUCUAUUUGGAGUUGUGGUUAAUGCGCUCGACUGCGGAUCCGGGUGACGCGGGUUCGAUUCCCCCUACCAGAUG
rnacentral:tRNA from 1 species